GAUGAACGCUGGCGGCGUGCCUAACACAUGCAAGUCGAGCGAUUCUCUUCGGAGAAUAGCGGCGGACGGGUGAGUAACGCGUGGGUAACCUGCCCUGUACACACGGACAACAUACGGAAAGGUAUGCUAAUACGGGAUAAUAUAAGAAAUUCGCAUGUUUUUCUUAUCAAAGCGCCGGCGGUACAGGAUGGACCCGCGUCUGAUUAGCUAGUUGGUGAGGUAACGGCUCACCAAGGCGACGAUCAGUAGCCGACCUGAGAGGGUGAUCGGCCACAUUGGAACUGAGACACGGUCCAAACUCCUACGGGAGGCAGCAGUGGGGAAUAUUGCACAAUGGGCGAAAGCCUGAUGCAGCAACGCCGCGUGAGCGAUGAAGGCCUUCGGGUCGUAAAGCUCUGUCCUCAAGGAAGAUAAUGACGGUACUUGAGGAGGAAGCCCCGGCUAACUACGUGCCAGCCGCCGCAGUAA
rnacentral:rRNA from 1 species